GCCAUCUACCCCAGUGUCCCACUGUGACUCAGGCACCUUCCCACCACUGCAGGCCUCUUCUCCCAGGAAAGGGUCCAAGAGCAUUCACGUGACCCUUCACACCAGAGGCCCUUGGUGGGAGUAUGCUUUUGCUGAAGGCUUUGUUGGGUUUUCUAAACAAGGAUAUCUCAUUGUCAGUGCGACAGCUGCUUGGGUGUGCUCCUUAGCUCCGCAGGCCCCCAUCCCACAGCUUAUUGUGUGAAGUUUUAAUAGUCCCCUAAACACCCUGUUUUGCCCCUUCUCUUCCUCAGGUGAUGGCCGUUGGGAACAAGGCAGGCAGAGGCAAGGGAAAUAACAACCACUGCUUUGGUCUGUGCUUCUGUUGCCAUAGUGACGUUGACAGGUGACACACAGCCCAAUUCCUCCUCCACCGAAGACACUCAAAUCUGGACUCACUUGUUCCUGUCCCACCGCAGCCAGCUGUGGUCCUCUCAGGGUCCCCAGCCCUGUUCUCUGCUCUGGAGUGGGAAUGUGCCCUGCCAUAGCAAGAAGCCCCUGACCACCAGAAACAGACACAGACACAGACCUGCUGCCUAACAGCUCAGAGUGGGGCAGGGCAGCCCUCCCAAGCAGGAGGUUGUCCUCCUUCCCAGUGAAACCAAGCAGAGAGAAAAGGAAGGUCUGGUUUUAAUGAGGAUCUUUAAAAGCCUUUGCAAUAGCAGAGAGAGCCCAAGGCAGCUUGGAGACCCGCACUGAUGGCAACAGGGCUCUUGUAAUUCCAGCGGACCCUGCAAAACAGAAGUGGCUCUGCUAGGUUAGGAGUGUGGCCUUCCUCCCCCGCC